AACUGAAGAGUUUGAUCAUGGCUCAGAUUGAACGCUGGCGGCAGGCUUAACACAUGCAAGUCGAGCGGAGAGAGGUAGCUUGCUACUGAUCUUAGCGGCGGACGGGUGAGUAAUGCUUAGGAAUCUGCCUAUUAGUGGGGGACAACAUUUCGAAAGGAAUGCUAAUACCGCAUACGUCCUACGGGAGAAAGCAGGGGAUCUUCGGACCUUGCGCUAAUAGAUGAGCCUAAGUCGGAUUAGCUAGUUGGUGGGGUAAAGGCCUACCAAGGCGACGAUCUGUAGCGGGUCUGAGAG
rnacentral:rRNA from 1 species